GGAAACCAAUGCGGGGCAACCCGGUAAAUGGUGAUUCAUAAUAACUUUCGGAUCGGUCUUCGGAUCGAUGCUUCAUUCAAGUUUCUGCCCUAUCAGCUUUGGAUGGUAGGGUAUUGGCCUACCAUGGCUUUAACGGGUAACGGAGAAUUAGGGUUCGAUUCCGGAGAGGGAGCCUGAGAAAUGGCUACCACAUCUAAGGAAGGCAGCAGGCGCGUAAAUUACCCAAUCCUGACACAGGGAGGUAGUGACAAUAAAUAACAAUGCCGGGCCUUCGGGUCUGGCAAUUGGAAUGAGAACAAUUUAAAUCCCUUAUCGAGGAUCAAUUGGAGGGCAAGUCUGGUGCCAGCAGCCGCGGUAAUUCCAGCUCCAAUAGCGUAUACUAAAGUUGUUGCAGUUAAAAAGCUCGUAGUUGAAUUUCUGGUCUUGGAUUUCGGUCUGCCUCAAACGAGGUAUGUACCAGGGAUCUGAGACCAUCCUCGAGGAAAACAUAUCUGUCAUUAAGUUAAUGGGUAUGAGAUCCUCGUCAUUUACUGUGAGCAAAAUAG
rnacentral:rRNA from 1 species